UUUUAUGAUGAGUUUGUUCCAAUUCAUGAGUUUUUCUAAGUUGGGCCCAGCGUUUUGCUGGGCUUUGAAGUGAUUAUCGUUAUACAACAUAAGCCAAUCCUCUGAAA
rnacentral:snoRNA from 1 species